rnacentral:lncRNA from 1 species
UUGGCCUCAACUCGUUUCGACCCCAAACUCUUUAAUUUCAUUUAAUGUUUACUUGUAAUAAAAUUAUGAAACUCACAUUUCCCAAAAUGGUUGAUUGUUUCAUCAACAAAUCUCUUGCAAUCCUCGAGCUUUGAAACAUCCGCCUUGAUCACAAUCGCAUCCGGCGAUCCAAGCUCCUUCGCUUUUUCGGCGACCACCCCUAGCACCUUCUCUCUCCUCGCAACCAAUGCUAGUCUCGCUCCAUGUUUUGCGUACUCGUAUGCCAAAUGCUUCAAAGGUACAAUAUCAAAAUAUAAAUUCCCACUACUAAACAAAUGAGUAUCAGCUACGAAUGUUAAUUUUUGUCGGACACCAUAGAAAACAUGCCCCGGAGAAGACUAAGUCUAGUCAAUCUUUGGUAAUCCGUUGGAAAACAAAUUACCUACACCUAUAUUACCGAUGGAUUCUCUUCGGUAACCACUUUCACUGACGGAAUUGUUUGCUUAGUAGUGUCUUAUAUCCAGAGGCGGACCUAGGUGAUGCGUUGGGUGGACGAGCGCACCUCUUGAAAAAAAUUAGUGUGUGCAAAAAUCCCGAUCUCACCAAUUGAAAGUUUGGUUAAACCCCAGAAAAUAAUUCCUGAGUCCGCCACUGCUUAUAUGUACGGAUGCAAAUACUAGAAUAAAUACAUAGCUUUAUACAUUGUAGUUUACCUCGCCAAUACCAGCAGAAGCUCCGGUGAUUAGUACUACUUUUCCGGCGAGGUUUUCCGGGAACAAGGAUCUAAUGCAAAACCUCAACAGGCGGUACACUGAAAGUAGUGGUAGGAUGAAGAUGAAUAAAAAGAUGGAUGCAAUAGGAAGAACAAUGUUUAAAAAUUUGUGGGUCAGAUCCAUGGAUGAUCACUUUUCAUCAAUGGUCUUUGAAUUAUAACUGGAAAAUGAAUAUAGGUGUGUAAUGUGUUGGUUGUAAAUGUUAACCGUAAUUUCGUGCCGAUCACCGCCCAUGCAGAGGACGUGGUAAGAGUUUGGCAGAAGAGAUGUUUUAGGGUUAAAAUGAUAGGAAUAGAAAUAAUCAAAUAAUUUACUUAUACUUCCUCAACCUAUUUUGUAUGAGAACGAGUUGACACCAUCUCACACGUCCACACGUUAUGACGAGGAGAAGAUCAUGCGAGAACCACCUCUUAUUGUGA